GUCCACGCCGUAAACGAUGGGCACUAGGUGUUCGGGGUAUUGACCCCCCGAGUGCCGCAGCUAACGCAUUAAGUGCCCCGCCUGGGGACUACGGCCGCAAGGUUAAAACUCAAAGGAAUUGACGGGGGCCCGCACAAGCGGUGGAGCAUGUGGUUCAAUUCGACGCAACGCGAAGAACCUUACCUGGACUAGACAACACCGGACAGCCCCAGAAAUGGGGUCUUCUCGCAAGGGACCGGUGGUUCAGGUGCUGCAUGGCUGUCGU
rnacentral:rRNA from 1 species